CCUACGGGAGGCAGCAGUGAGGAAUAUUGGUCAAUGGACGAGAGUCUGAACCAGCCAAGUAGCGUGAAUGAUGACUGCCCUAUGGGUUGUAAACUUCUUUUAUAUGGGAAUAAAAUGUUCCACGUGUGGGAUUUUGUAUGUACCAUAUGAAUAAGGAUCGGCUAACUCCGUGCCAGCAGCCGCGGUAAUACGGAGGAUCCGAGCGUUAUCCGGAUUUAUUGGGUUUAAAGGGAGCGUAGGUGGAUUGUUAAGUCAGUUGUGAAAGUUUGCGGCUCAACCGUAAAAUUGAAGUUGAAACUGGCAGUCUUGAGUACAGUAGAGGUGGGCGGAAUUCGUGGUGUAGCGGUGAAAUGCUUAGAUAUCACGAAGAACUCCGAUUGCGAAGGCAGUUCACUGGACUGCAACUGACACUGAGGCUCGAAAGUGUGGGUAUCAAACAGGAGUAGAUACCCCAGUAGUC
rnacentral:rRNA from 1 species